rnacentral:rRNA from 1 species
AGUAUUCUUCUAAGCUGGGACUGCUUACUAGUUGGUCGCUUUGCCUGCGCUGCUGAAAUAUUGCGUGCGCGGUGAGAGAUUAAUUUGGUUGCAGUCCUAUUCAAGGCUUAGAAAUCUCCUUACACACUUUGUUUUCUUAUUAGAGACAAAUUUGCUUUGGUCAGUGGUUGUGUAAAAGCAACAUGUCUGGCCAGAGGUUUUAACAAAACUCUUUUUUUUGUUUUCCCCUGGGAAGAUUGAAAACUUGAUAUUUAUAUUUUGUCAGAUUUAAGAAAUUGCGUAGCAGCUUUUCUAAAAUUUAAAACUUUCAACAACGGAUCUCUUGGUUCUCGCAUCGAUGAAGAACGCAGCGAAAUGCGAUAAGUAAUGUGAAUUGCAGAUUUUCGUGAAUCAUUGAAUCUUUGAACGCACAUUGCGCCCUCUGGUAUUCCAGAGGGCAUGCCUGUUUGAGCGUCAUUUCCUUCUCAAACCCUAGGGUUUGGUGAUGGGCAAUACUCUUGUAUGAGAGUUUGCUUGAAAUGUAUUGGCAUGAGUUUUUGAUAUGAACUUCAGCUGUUUAUUCAAUGUAUUAGGUUUUAUCCAUCGUUGAUUGAUGACUGUUAGCUUCUUUCGAAAUUUGGCUCUGCCUAACAAACUUUAUCAUAAAGUUUGACCUCAAAUCAGGUAGGAUUACCCGCUGAACUUAAGCAUAUCAAUAAGCGGAGGA